rnacentral:lncRNA from 10 species
CCAGGCUGGAGUGCAGAGGCAUGAUUUCGGCUCACUGCAAGCUCCGCCUCCCGGGUUCACGCCAUUCUCCUGCCUCAGCCUCCCGAGUUGCUGGGACUACAGGUGCCGGCCACCACACUCAGCUAAUUUUUUGUAUUUUUAGUAGAGAUGGGGUUUCACUGUGUUAGCCAGGAUGGUCUUGAUCUCCUUACCUCGUGAUCCGCCCUCCUUGGCCUACCAAAGUGCUGGGAUUACAGGCGUGAGCCACCAGGCC